GUACGUACAAGCAGUGGGAGCACAGGUUUACCCGUGUGUCUGCGUACCUUUUGUAUAAUGGGUCAGCGACUUAUAUUCUGUAGCAAGGUUAACCGAAUAGGGGAGCCGGAGGGAAACCGAGUCUUAACCGGGCGUUAAGUUGCAGGGUAUAGACCCGAAACCCGGUGAUCUAGCCAUGGGCAGGUUGAAGGUUGGGUAACACUAACUGGAGGACCGAACCGAC
rnacentral:rRNA from 1 species